GGAGCGGUGGCAGAGUGGUCGAUUGUGCAGCACUGGAAAUGCUGUGUACGGGAAACCGUACCGAGGGUUCGAAUCCCUCCCGCUCCG
rnacentral:tRNA from 1 species